rnacentral:tRNA from 1 species
GCCAGUGUGGUGUAGUGGUUUGAGCAUUGCAGUACAACUCUGGAGACCAGGGUUCAAGUCCCAGCUCAACCA